AGUUUUGUAGUUUAUAAAAAACAUAAAAUUGCAAAUUUUAAAAAAAUAUAUUAUUCAAAACUU
rnacentral:tRNA from 1 species